AAGUCCUCUUUAUGUUCAAUUACUUUUUCACUAAGUUCAUUGAGUUUCUUUGUAACCAGUGUUUUGAAAUCUGCAUCUAGUAGAUUGCUGGUCUCCAUUUUGUUUAGUUCUUUUUCUAUUCUUUCGUUUGGGACAUGUUUCUUUGUCUCCUCAUUUUUGGCAGCCUCUCUGCGUUUGUUUCUAUGAAUUAGGUAGAGCUGCUAUGUCUUCUGGGUUUGGUAGGGUCCCUUAUGUAGUAGGUGUUCUGCAGGGUAUAGUA